GCGAGCUAGCGGGCAGGUUACUGUCUAACAGAGGAAACUCCUCCCUCCAUGCAAGCAUCUGAUCCAGCGAUGGAUAGCCAGAGAUGGCUGGCAACGGCACAGAAAAGAUAUCCGAGCUAGGGUAUGAUGAUGCCAAAGCUGAAGUUCCUAGCAAGGAAUGAAACUGCCGUCCCAGAUGGAGCAAGGCCAAACCGAGCCUAUGAAUAGCUUGCAUGAGGCUCAGGUAGGCUGCAUAGUCGAAUCCUGCCUAAAACAGAAGGAGGGUUACUGCUAGCACGC
rnacentral:RNase_P_RNA from 1 species